CUGAAAGCUGAAGUGUGUGAACUAAUGGUUUUGAACCUCUGCCUGAUGUUUUUGGAAUUUGGAUUUUCCACCUGCCCGCGGUUUUGACCCUUCCUGCCUCAUUAAUCUAUCAUGCCGGAACUUCUGCGUGACAGCCAGAGCCAUGCGUGGCCAACAUCACACAUCAGCAGCGGUGGGGAUUUUCAGACUGUUACAUCUGAUGAAUAAAUGGAAAAAACUGAUCUGAGAGGGUGCGGCCGUCUUUUGAUGAUGCUCCAGUGACAGUUGAACACUGUAUAUUCUAUAAUCCUGCUUUAAUAUGAGGACACACACACUCUCUCACCUCUGUGUUUUACAAGCUGCGCCGUCUCUCUCUAUUCCCCGUUAACAAGAUAUAAAGUUAGAGUGCUAGCACUCACUCGGUCA